CAGGAAAUGAAAGACUCUGGAUUCCUUCAAGGUUAAUAGAGAUCAGGUUUGAUCUUGGAAGGCCCCCUGACUACAGACAUAAAGAAAUAAACCUAGAAAACCACAAAGCAGGUCAUUCAGAGAUGCCAUAGCCCCAUCUUCUUCAGAACAGGAUCCAUGGUGUCAUGGGCAGAAGCUUUGGGCUGUAGAGUGUGAGAUGUUGCCCAGUACCUUACAGCUCUGCAGGAAAGGAACUGACAGGAUGUGGAGAGGAAAGAUGUUGUUCUUCAGAAGGUAAGAGGAUGAUCCCAGGCCUUCCUCAGGAGCCCUUGAUGCAGCAGAGGGGUCAAAACAGGCAUCCUUCCAGCUCUUGGGGCCCAGGUUGAGCAUCUGUGAUCCUGGCAUUGAGGUGUCGAUCAAGGACCUGUCCAACAAUAAACCCAGCGGAUCCUUCCAUUGCAUCAGAAGUCACUGCCACUUGCCUGGAGACCACAUCUCAGAGACUUGUUUCUCCCAUCUCGCUCUCUUCUGAGCCUCAGCAUAGCUCCCUGCCCCGCGCUACCGUCUCGCCAGCAAGAACCACGCGGAACACUAGGAUCCUUCUGCAGGAAUGGCUUUAAUCCU